rnacentral:rRNA from 1 species
GACGAACGCUGGCGGCGUGCCUAAUACAUGCAAGUAGAACGCAGUUGCGAACGGGUGAGUAACGCGUAGGUUAAUGCCUCAUAGCGGGGGAUAAAUAUUGGAAACGAUAGCUAAUACCGCACACUGUAAGCUGGAACUGCGUUGUAUUAGCUAGUUGGUGGGGAAAAGGCUCACCAGGGCGACGAUACAUAGCCGACCUGAGAGGUUGAUCGGCCACAUUGGGACUGAGACACGGCCCAGACUCCUACGGGAGGCAGCAGUAGGGAAUCUUCGGCAAUGGACGGAAGUCUGACCGAGCAACGCCGCGUGAGUGAAGAAGGUUUUCGGAUCGUAAAGCUCUGUUGUUAGAGAGGCGGUACCUAACCAGAAAGGGACGGCUAACUACGUGCCAGUAGCCGCGGUAAUAC